UCCACAGAGCCGGGACCGAGCGAGCCGGCGAGCGACCGCGGUAAAGGUAUCGCGCCUUAGUCAGAGGCCACCAAUGUUGGGUUACAUUUUGUAGUAAAGUACCUUAUGAUCAUCUUUUGGUACUUGAUGAUUAGUGAUGUAAAGAAAAGAAUGUAAAGCUCAUUUUGAGGUAAAUGUGAUGUAAGAAAGAAAUGAUGCAAUUAUGUAAUGAAAUGCAGAGAAUUCUAAAGGUAAGAGAUGGAUGCAAUGUAUAUGAUCUAAAAUGAAUCAU
rnacentral:lncRNA from 1 species